rnacentral:rRNA from 1 species
AACCAGCACCUCAAGUGGUCAGGAUGAUUAUUGGGCCUAAAGCAUCCGUAGCCGGCGCUAUAAGUUUUCGGUUAAAUCUGUACGUUCAACGUACAGGCUGCCGGGAAUACUGUAGCGCCAGGGAGUGGGAGAGGUAGACGGUACUCGGUAGGAAGGGGUAAAAUCCUUUGAUCUAUUGAUGACCACCUGUGGCGAAGGCGGUCUACCAGAACACGUCCGACGGUGAGGGAUGAAAGCUGGGGGAGCAAACCGGAUUAGAUACCCGGGUAGUCCCAGCUGUAAACUAUGCAAACUCAGUGAUGCAUUGGCUUGUGGCCAAUGCAGUGCUGCAGGGAAGCCGUUAAGUUUGCCGCCUGGGAAGUACGUACGCAAGUAUGAAACUUAAAGGAGUUGGCGGGGGAGCACCACAAGGGUGAAGCCUGCGGUUC